UACGUAGGUGGCAAGCGUUAUCCGGAUUUACUGGGUGUAAAGGGCGUGCAGGCGGGAAAGCAAGUCAGAUGUGAAAACCACGGGCUCAACCUGUGGCCUGCAUUUGAAACUGUUUUUCUUGAGUACUGGAGAGGCAGACGGAAUUCCUAGUGUAGCGGUGAAAUGCGUAGAUAUUAGGAGGAACACCAGUGGCGAAGGCGGUCUGCUGGACAGCAACUGACGCUGAGGCGCGAAAGCGUGGGGAGCAAACAGG
rnacentral:rRNA from 1 species